rnacentral:rRNA from 1 species
UACGUAGGGUGCAAGCGUUGUCCGGAAUUAUUGGGCGUAAAGCGCACGUAGGCGGUUCGUUAAGUCGGAUGUGAAAGCCCUCGGCUCAACUGAGGAAGUGCACCCGAAACUGGCGAGCUUGAGUACGAAAGAGGAUCGCGGAAUUCCCGGUGUAGAGGUGAAAUUCGUAGAUAUCGGGAGGAACACCGGCGGCGAAGGCGGCGAUCUGGGUCGAUACUGACGCUGAGGUGCGAAAGCGUGGGGAGCAAACAGG